UAUGGACAAUAGGAAAUGGGGAUUACAGAAACGUCUCUUUCUCUCUUCUCUCUCUUUUCUCUCCUCUCUCCCCUCUCUCAUCUUUGCUACUGGCGGCCCUUCUACUGAAAGAAGAAACUCACCAGCUCUGCUAAUGAAAGAAGCAACUCACCGGAUUCAUCGCCACCUCAGUUAUCACCAAAAUUUAUUUCAGAAGGAGCCUCUAGCACCAAUUAUCCUUUUUUUCCAGAACUUGGGAAAGUUGGAAGAGAAUAACAUCAUAUCUGCAACGUAAUACACCCACUCAAGUGUUAAUCAUCAGGAUUCUGGAGAUGCUUAAUUCACUCACUUGAGCUAUUGGAAUGCAUUUGAAGAUAGACAUUUUGCACCUUAUCCGCCGCGUGUCAUGAGCUCCCUACUAACGAUAUACUUUUCUCUCCAUUGAGUUAAAUAAAAUUGGGUUCUAUUCACGAAAGACCACCAGAAGUGGGCACAAAAGGUGGCUUAUAGAAGAGUAGGGAAUGAGCAAAUUGGGAUAUAGCUUUAAGUAUUAGGUAGUGUAAGUUUAUGUCCAAUUUCAAUCUGGUUAAAGGAGGAAUUUGUAGAGGCAUAUGUUGGUAAUUUGGUAGUAAUUGUUAAGAAACUCCAUUUUCGAUGUUACUUGAGAUCUAAUAAUGAAGUGUAAAUACUCCAUUCCAA